GACUGCAUGAAAGAAUGAGUCUCGUGACCUGCCAACAAGGUGAGCUCCACGUGGAGGGUUUCCGCCAUCUUGAAGAAGUGUCUGUGAAAUCGCUCACCAAAAACUUCGAUUUAUUUGAAUAAAAAGCCUAAUUUCUGCCCCAAAAUCAUUGCAGAAUAAAUGAGCUCCUGCGUCCUGAUGCCCUAUACAUGUACAGACUGCCGCUUCUCAUUUCAACUAAGAAAAUAAUUGACGCCAAAGAACUUGUUCACGUGCUCUAUCCAGCCCAUUCUCCGCAGAUCUUCUCCAUACGAUGGCGACUCGAUUUCAGUUCUUCAGUUAAUCUGUAACUUCAUUUAAUCUGUAUGAUCUUUUGAACUAAUCAAUAAAAU